rnacentral:rRNA from 1 species
AAACAUAGGGGGCAAGCGUUGUCCGGAAUCACUGGGCGUAAAGGGCGCGUAGGCGGUCUGUUAAGUCGGAUGUGAAAUGUAAGGGCUCAACCCUUAACGUGCAUCUGAUACUGGCAGACUUGAGUGCGGAAGAGGCAAGUGGAAUUCCUAGUGUAGCGGUGAAAUGCGUAGAUAUUAGGAGGAACACCGGUGGCGAAGGCGGCUACCUGGACCGAUACUGACGCUGAGACGCGAAAGCGUGGGGAGC